UACGGAGGGUGCAAGCGUUGUCCGGAUUUAUUGGGUUUAAAGGGUGCGUAGGCGGCGUAGUAAGUCCGUGGUGAAAGCCCACAGCUCAACUGUGGAACUGCCAUGGAUACUGCUAGGCUUGAGUACAGACGAGGUAGGCGGAAUGGAUAGUGUAGCGGUGAAAUGCAUAGAUACUAGCCAGAACACCGAUUGCGUAGGCAGCUUACUAGACUGUAACUGACGCUGAGGCACGAAAGCGUGGGGAGCGAACAGG
rnacentral:rRNA from 1 species